GGGACACCAUCUGGACUCAAGGCAGCAGGAUGCUUCCUCCAGGCUCCUCCCCUGGGUGUCCAGCUGGUGCGGUGACUGCCUAGAGGAAAGGUGGGGUACACACACCAACUCCAUGAGUGGGGAGGGGUGAGAUGUCCGGCAGGGUGGCUGUGAUGGAUGAGGGGAUGGUCUGAGGGGUUCUCUAUGUUCUUCCCCCCAGGCUGCACCCCCAGUGUGUCUCCCCCAGGCUGUCAUGUGGAGCUGGACCAAGCCAUCGCGGCCCUGGCAACCGCACUUUCUCAGGCUUGUGGGCCACCAACUGGGGCCCUGAGAAAGGGCUCUGCUUGGGUUGGUGGACAGCCUGUCUCCGCCUGUCAAAAAGAUGCUCAGCUGGUGAAUGACGUGCUCCCCGAGCCCCAGCCUCUGCCCUCCCCUGAGGAGCACCGAAGUCCAAGCCCCCAGAGGCAGCCGAGAGCUGGAUGGCGCCCCCGGGAUGACGUCAAAGGAGGAGGCCCCAUGAGCCUUGCCCCUGCGCACAGGCAGGGAGCCCUUCCUGAGCUGCAGGUAGGGGCCAGGCAGUGUGGAGAGGGGCACAGCCCAGCAACGUGGGAUGAUGUAGGGAAACUGCCCACCCUCCAGCCUGCUUGUCACCUACACACCGUGUAUGACUCUGGGACACAGGAAAUUAGAAUUGGAGAAUACUGGUCAAGAAAAGCAUUCUUUCAAUCAACAAGUAUUCAUUGAUUUCUACGAUGUUCACAAGGCCAAGAGGUGAAGGUUUAAAAGAAUUUUCAAAACAAUGGGGAAAAAAUCCCAAAGGUGAGGUAUGAUCACAUAAUAAUAUAAAACCUCUAGGCCAAAAUGUUACCAUUAGUAGACACUUCUACUCUUUUAGAAAAAAUGUGCAAAUGGCCUUAGAGGAAGGAAACACAAACAAAUAAAUUGUAUUAGAAUGUUCAAAGAAUCAGAAAAAAAAUUAAACUAAAUACCCUUUUUUAUCUACCUAAAAUAUCUGACCAAGUUCAGUUUAGUCACUCAGUCAUGUCUCUUUGCAACCCCAUGGACUGCAGCACAACAGGCCUCCCUGUCCAUCACCAACUCCUGGAGUUUACUCAAACUCAUGUCCAUUGAGUUGGUGAUACCAAUCUGACUAAAGUACUAAGUAAUUGUGAGGAAUAAAGAAAUAAGCCCUCUCAUAUUCCACUGGUUGAAGAGUACAAAAUUUAAACCUUUCAGGAAAGCAUUGGGCAAAACUCAGCUACACAAUCAUCUCUGCCUAUAAGAGUGCCUGAGAUAAGCUAUUUUUAAUCAGAAAACACUCACUCUCCCAAAAAAUUAAUAAGAAAGUCUCUGCCAUUGUAGCCACAAUAGCACACAAGGCCCCUCACAGCUUACUGUCCCCAGCCACCACUCCUAUGUCUUCAGCAUCAUCUCUGUCCACUUUUCCAAAUUAUUAAUGCAUGCUACCACCAAACUGAACUUUGACUACUUCCCACACCAAGCUGAACAUCUCCUUGGGUAACAUUUGUCACUGAUAAUUCCUUGUUCUAUGUUUGUAUAGACUACAAACUUCAUGGGAGUUCACUAGUGGGGUUCCAUAAUCAACCAUUGGCUUGACACAUAAUGGGUGCUCAAUAAAUCUUUCUUUAUCUAUGAAUGGAUGGACGUACAAAUGGAUGGAUAAAAGGAUCCGUGUAUGAAUGUUGUGAUGGAUAGAUGCAUGGAUGGAUGCAUAGAUGGAUGGGUGGAUGGAAAGAUGCAUGGAUGGAACUGGGUGAACUGAGAGAUAGAUGAAAGUUCCUUGUGCUCUCUCAUAGCUCUCUGUUUCCACACAUGCUGUUGCCUUUGCCUAGCAUGCCCUACUUCAGCUCUCCACCCAGUUAAUUCCUUUUUGUUAACAUUCAGUUGCGAUGUCUCCUGUCUUCCAGAGAGCUCUCCCUGAUUGCAACUGCCUGUGUUAGGCUCCCUGCUUUUUGCUCCUGUAGACCCUGCACAUCCCUCCACACAGUUCUCACUAUACCAGACUGUAGGCCUGCAUUCCCUUUUCUUUAGGUACUGAGCUCUUCAAGAGCAGACAUAUCUCAACUCCACACAUCCAGCAUUGAUGCCCCCACCUGUCAUGGAGCAGUUCAAUGGGUUUUUAGUGAAAUUAGAAUACAAGGGACAAAAAAAAAAAAAAAAAAAAAAAGGGACAGUAAUGCGGACCAUGUGUCCCUUGUUUCUAGAGGAAGAUACAGCAGGUGGAAGACAAUUUGGAUGAGCUGAAUGAGGAGUUCUUCCAGCUCACUGCUCAAGCCUUAGCGCUUCAGAAAGAAGAGGACAGAACAAGCCAACUGCCUCCUGGCAAAGGCAAUCCAUGUGUGGUAAGCCCAUAAGACCACCACCUCAGCUCCUGAGGCAUCCAUGGACAGC
rnacentral:lncRNA from 1 species